GGCCGGGAACUCAAAGGAGACUGCCAGUGAUAAACUGGAGGAAGGUGGGGAUGACGUCAAGUCAUCAUGGCCCUUACGACCAGGGCUACACACGUGCUACAAUGGCAUAUACAAAGAGAAGCGACCUCGCGAGAGCAAGCGGACCUCAUAAAGUAUGUCGUAGUCCGGAUUGGAGUCUGCAACUCGACUCCAUGAAGUCGGAAUCGCUAGUAAUCGUAGAUCAGAAUGCUACGGUGAAUACGUUCCCGGGCCUUGUACACACCGCCCGUCACACCAUGGGAGUGGGUUGCAAAAGAAGUAGGUAGCUUAACCUUCGGGAGGGCGCUUACCACUUUGUGAUUCAUGACUGGGGUGAAGUCGUAACAAGGUAACCGUAGGGGAACCUGCGG
rnacentral:rRNA from 1 species